GACGAACGCUGGCGGCGUGCUUAACACAUGCAAGUCGAACGGAAAGGCCCUGCUUUUGUGGGGUGCUCGAGUGGCGAACGGGUGAGUAACACGUGAGUAACCUGCCCUUGACUUUGGGAUAACUUCAGGAAACUGGGGCUAAUACCGGAUAGGAGCUCCUGCUGCAUGGUGGGGGUUGGAAAGUUUCGGCGGUUGGGGAUGGACUCGCGGCUUAUCAGCUUGUUGGUGGGGUAGUGGAUGACCAAGGCUUUGACGGGUAGCCGGCCUGAGAGGGUGACCGGCCACAUUGGGGCUGAGAUACGGCACAGACUCCUACGGGAGGCAGCAGUGGGGAAUAUUGCACAAUGGGCGGAAGCCUGAUGCAGCAACGCCGCGUGCGGGAUGACGGCCUUCGGGUUGUAAACCGCUUUCGCAUGUGACGAAGCGUGAGUGACGGUAAUGGGUAAAGAAGCACCGGCUAACUACGUG
rnacentral:rRNA from 1 species